rnacentral:rRNA from 1 species
GGGUGAGUAAUACUUAGGAAUCUACCUAGUAGUGGGGGAUAGCACGGGGAAACUCGUAUUAAUACCGCAUACGACCUACGGGAGAAAGGGGGCAGUUUACUGCUCUCGCUAUUAGAUGAGCCUAAGUCGGAUUAGCUAGAUGGUGGGGUAAAGGCCUACCAUGGCGACNAUCUGUAGCUGGUCUGAGAGGAUGAUCAGCCACACCGGGACUGAGACACGGCCCGGACUCCUACGGGAGGCAGCAGUGGGGAAUAUUGGACAAUGGGGGAAACCCUGAUCCAGCCAUGCCGCGUGUGUGAAGAAGGCCUUUUGGUUGUAAAGCACUUUAAGCAGUGAANAANACUCUAUGGUUAAUACCCAUAGACGAUGACAUUAGCUGCANAAUAAGCACCGGCUAACUCUGUGCCAGCAGCCGCGGUAAUACAGAGGGUGCAAGCGUUAAUCGGAAUUACUGGGCGUAAAGGGAGCGUAGGUGGCUCGAUAAGUCANAUGUGAAAUCCCCGGGCUCAACCUGGGAACUGCAUCUGAAACUGUCGUGCUAGAGUAUGUGAGAGGAAGGUAGAAUUCCAGGUGUAGCGGUGAAA